rnacentral:lncRNA from 1 species
CUGUGUUCCAAUAAAACUUUAUUCACAAAAGCAAGUGGUGGGCCAGGUUUGACCUAUGGAUCAUAGUUUGCUGACCCCUGCACUAUGAUGUUCACCCGAGAUCCUGGUGCCCCAACUCUUGGCAGUUUUCAUAGAGUUUUCUCUGUACCAUUUCUUCCUGAAGCGCUGGGAGGUCUUCAUGCAAAAAGGCUUGAUAUGGCUUGUUUGGGUUUUUCAAAUCCUCUGAUAUGUAGAUUUGCUUUUAGUUCCCACUCUCAACCACUUGUUAUUUCGGUCAUGAAAUGUCAUUUUUCUUUUCUCCUUACAUCCUACAGAGCCGUUUUCAUAGCGCAUUUGACAAACUAAUGGCGAAGGCGUUGUGACUGUCAUUUGACUGUGUGCAGUCGUCAGCUGCUGGGGACUGUGCUUUGAAGUGUGUGGGUGGCUUCAAACACUUGGGGGCAAGCAGCCCUACAGUUCUGCACCGAUGAGUGGAGGAAAUAACCAGAAAAGAAAGAAGAGGCUGUUUAUUGCUGCUUUAUAAUGCUAAAGAAUUUUUUAAAAAGAAAUGCCUACAUUCAAUAUUAUCAAGAAAAAGAAGAAACAAGUCCGACCUAUCCUGGGCCUGGAAACCGUGCUAGCAGCAGCUCUUGGCUUUAUCAAAGAACAUUUAUUAUGUGCCUUCCUGUAUGUGAUGCUCUGCUAGGCACUAUGCAGAAAAAACUAAACCAAAGUGCUUAUCUUGGGCUCCGUCUCCCCCUCCAAUUGGCUGAUUAUUGGGCGAGCCAGCACUGGCACAGAUGCACAAAUGGAGUACAUAUGGCGCAUACAACACAGACCUGAAUGACAGGUGUUGGGAGCCAAUAUUCACAGUCUUCUUGCCUCAAUUGAAGAUAGAAAAGUCAAAUUGGCAGCUUGAAGUAUCCUCAGUAUUUAUGGACAACACAAUUCUCCGACAGAAAUGCCUCUCCUUAACCCUGUUUCCUGGUGAAGACGAUACUCCAUGCAGAAGUACAGGGUCUCCUUUUUCUAAAGAAGGAGCCAGCUUCCCUGCACCCCAUCCUAGUCCUGCUGAAGGCCGCUCGGCUUCCCAUCUCAAAGCCCCCCUCUCUCCUAGACGACAGAAGCUGGAGAGAGAGAUUAGAGAUUCUAGGACACCAGGAUUAGAAACUUGGGUGUCUUCUUCCUUUUCACAUGUCAGACCAUAA